AUUGAACGCUGGCGGCAUGCCUUACACAUGCAAGUCGAACGGCAGCACGGGUGCUUGCACCUGGUGGCGAGUGGCGAACGGGUGAGUAAUACAUCGGAACAUGUCCUGUAGUGGGGGAUAGCCCGGCGAAAGCCGGAUUAAUACCGCAUACGAUCUACGGAUGAAAGCGGGGGACCUUCGGGCCUCGCGCUAUAGGGUUGGCCGAUGGCUGAUUAGCUAGUUGGUGGGGUAAAGGCCUACCAAGGCGACGAUCAGUAGCUGGUCUGAGAGGACGACCAGCCACACUGGGACUGAGACACGGCCCAGACUCCUACGGGAGGCAGCAGUGGGGAAUUUUGGACAAUGGGCGAAAGCCUGAUCCAGCAAUGCCGCGUGUGUGAAGAAGGCCUUCGGGUUGGAAGGCACUUUUGUCCGGAAAGAAAUCCUUGGCCCUAAUACGGUCGGGGGAUGACGGUACCGGAAGAAUAAGCACCGGCUAACUACGUG
rnacentral:rRNA from 1 species